UGCUCUGCUUCAUUUCUGGCCUUUGCCUGAAGAAGCAGUCCCCCUCUAAGAUGUUGUUUAGAUGUCUUUAGGCAGAGGAAAUAUAAAGCAAUGGAAGAACCAUGUGAUGAGUCUUACAGCUUCUACUGGAAGGGGAACGUAUCACUUGUUCUCACAUUUCCUUUGCUUAAUGUUAAAGAACUCUAAAAGCUACAGCAAUAAAUUGGAAUAUGUGGGGAAUGGAGACAAAUGAGGAGAACAAGGAGAGGAAAUAUAACUCAACCCCGCAGAGGAAAAUUUUCAAGAAAGAGGUUGUCAACAAAAUCAAAAUUAGCCGAAAUAUCCAGGGAGAAGAAAAUGGGAACGGGACAAGAACGGUCAAGAAGGGCGGCGGCGGCCAGAGCUCAGUCACGUGGUGACGCUCAGCUAAAGAGAGGCACCAAACGGAGUUCAGACCCCAGAAUGA